rnacentral:rRNA from 1 species
GACAGAGGUGCCGAGCGUUAGGCGGAAUCACUGGGCUUAAAGCGUGUGUAGGCGGCGGCGUAAGUACCUUGUGAAAUCCCACGGCUCAACCGUGGAACUGCUCGGUAUACUGCGUCGCUUGAGCCAGCUAGGGGCGGCCGGAACAAACGGUGGAGCGGUGAAAUGCGUAGAUAUCGCUUGGAACGCCGAAGGUGAAAACAGGCUGCUGGGGUUGUGCCGACGCUGAGACACGAAAGCCAGGGGAGCAAACGGG